CGUCUGCUAUGUUUUGAAUAAGAUGCUGGAGGAACAUGUGGCGCGGGAAUUGCCUUCCCUAACAAAGUGAAUUUCGUUAUUUUAAUUGAUACAGUAAUUAUAAAAAGGAAAAUCAGUGUUGAAAACUACUAUUUAAAGCGAAACAAAAAUGUGUGAUUCGGAUGAGGACCUGAGUUCCAUGUCUACUGUCCCUUACGAGUAUGACGCCUCGGACUGUUCGGACAGCAUAUACGAUAAGGAAACCCAGGCUAUUGGAGAAAUCGGCAAUGGUGAAAACAAAGCUGGGUUUCAGAAACCCAGUAAAUGUAUCUUGAGUGCAGAUAAUGUGCUUUAUGAUGGUCCAACCCAACCUCUUAAAUCCAUCAACUCAGCUGUAAUAUGCAAAUCCCCAACAGCUGUGGGGCAAACUUCGUUAUUAGAAACAAAGCAGAGACCUACAGAAGACUUUGACUCUGAUUGUGACACAAUACCAGGAUCUCCAGUUCUGUGUCAGGAUCCCCUCUUUGAUGAAGUUGAUUUCCAGCAAGCAAAAACACCACCUACCAAAUCUACGAUGAUUUUGAUUGAUGACGAUAAAACCCAGCCCCUUCCUGCACUGCAUCCUCCAGAUAUUGGUAUAUUAAACCAAGACUGUGCAAGCCCAGAGAUUGCUUUGUAUGAUGGCCCCACACAAAGGCUCAUCAUUACCAAUCAAGUCACACUUAGCUGUUCCCGUGAAGAAACUUGUACAUCACCAUCACCAACUAGCCAAAACACAUCUAUAUCAGAUUUAGAAACUCUUCCCAUUUCUCCAGUACAAUAUAAUACAAAAGUGUACCCACCAGGAUGUCACGAGAAAGGUAGUUCCGGGAGAGAGUCUGCAAGAGCUGUAACCCCUUUGUAUGAUGGCCCAACCCAACCACUGUGCGUUCGUUCUAAUACUGAACCGAUUUCUGUUGGAAAAAUGAAUUUUGGUUUAUCGGCAGAGUCCAAUCGUGAUAUACUACCACCGGUGAAGAGAACUAGUACUUCAAGUGAUAUGGAUAUUGAAGAUGACAGCGAGGAUCGAACCCAGGUCAAUCCUAAUUUAAUGCAUUUCUCUGAUAGGGUAGCUUCUCCGGGUUCGACAGUUAUACUAGAGAAAAAAGAUGAGGAUUCUGAUUGUGAAACCUUGCCGUGUUCUCCAGUUCACCCGCUGAGUUCCAUGGAAGAAGUCCCCCUCACCCAGGGCAUGAAGGAUAGAAACCCGCUUCAGGGGACAGAAGCCUGGAGUGCUUUAAAAAAAGUUGACAACUGGGAUUUCGAAGCUGGCGAUUCGUGUCCUUUAUCUCCGGAUCUCUUUGUUGUUUCUUCACCUUGUCCCGAACCAAGCCAAAAUUUAACUGCCGAAUCCGAAAAGAACGAUGAGCAAGACGCCAACAAUUCAGUAAACGAUCCUACCCUAGAAAUGGAUCGCGUCACUAUACCAGUUGUAUCCCCCGUCUUUGAUUUCCAUGGCUCAGAUAACGAAGAGACAGAUGAAGAGACACAAGCUAUUUCCCCGGCGUUCCACUUCCAAGGAUCGCCAGCCUUUGUUGCCGAAACCCCCUUCGUUCCCAUGACACCCGUUGUCUCCAAAGAAAUGCCUUUCGUGGCAGAAACGCCUUUUGUGGUCGAAUCACCAUCAGGUGGCGAAGAAACUCCACGGAAAAAGAGAAAAAUUAUCCGUCGAUCUGGUCACGCCUGUCGCCAACUGCUACCCGAAGCCAAUUCCUCCAUCAGUAACCGAACAUCAACCCCACACGAUAUGGAUCACGAUAACAGCGAAAUAGAGCGCCGAGCAAGGGAAGACACCGUAUCAGUCGAAAGCGAUUUCGAACUUACCUUUGCUUCUCACUAUUCUGCAUUGCCCACGCCGACAGCGUUUGCACCAGCAACAGAUCCUCCUUUUGUUGGCUUUGAAGCUACUGAAGUAGAAGAGCCAACAACUCAUUUGGAGAAAAUUCGGCAGGUCAUCGUCAGCGAUCAAGUAGAUUCUUUGGAAGAGGCAAAGGCAUCCCAGGAUAUUGCAGCUCCAUUGGUGCCAUCAGAUAAGGCAGAUGCUUCCACGGUGACUGAACCGAUCGAUGUAAAAUUACCAACUCUUAGACGAUCCUCUCGCAAACCUGUGCCCAAUAGACGAAACACAUUAGACUUUACAGAACCAGAUCGCGUGGAAGCUGUCGCGCCCAAACGGCGUACGGUUCAACUAUCUAAAACAGCGGUCAAAGUAGAGGUAAUGUCUUCCGAUGAGACGGAUGCAGCUGAAAAUGGGCCGACGAUUAAACGUCGUCCAGGUCGGCCACGGAAAAAAGUCAAGGAAGAGCCACCUGACCAGACAGAUGCUGUAGAGGCUGUUCCAGCAAAUAAGCGGUCUUCUAGACGACCGGUGAAACUUGAGGUCGGAUCAAUGGAUGAGCCAGACAUUAAAUCCGUUGCAAGGGUAGCAUCAGUCUCGCUUCCCUUAUCCGACGCAACUGAAUCGGGUGGGGAAAAUCUAGUAGCGACCAAUCGAACAACGCGAAAUACUCGUGGUGGACGAAAGAAGGUUGAUGCAGCCAGUGAGAGUGUUACUGGGCAAGCAAAAGCCACCCCACCCGUGAUCAGUAGGAAAACAAGGAACCAAGUCAAACAAGAACCGUUGAACGAAUCGGUUAGCGAAAGUGCCUUGAACAAGACAACAUCGCAACGUCGAAGUAAACGCGGCGUCAACAACAACACCGACACGUCCUCGAUCGCAUCUAAUUCGCCAUCCGUCCAGGAGGCCACGCGUAGGCGGAAAAGACCUCUGGCUGGCCAGGUUCGAGUCUUAUUUACGGUCAUCAACGAUGAUGGCGAACAUGACAAAAUAGUGGAAAGCCUCGGUGGCCGAGUUGUUACGACAUUCAAAGACUGCUCUGUCUUGGUGACGGACCGUAUUCGCCGCACUCUCAAAUUCCUUUGCUGCGUCGGCCUGGGCACCCCGAUAGUCGGUGUCGAAUGGUUAACUAAAUGUCGUUCCAGCAGAAAGUUUGUAGAUCCAUGGUUGCACUUGCUCUUAGACAAAGCGGGCGAGGAAAAGUUUAAUUUCAAACUUUCUGAAAGUCUCGAAGUUGCGAAAGAGACUCCCCUUUUGUCUGGGUGGAUUUUUCACGCCACUCCAUCCGUCAUACCGAAACCGGUUGAAAUGCAAGAAAUCGUGGAAUCGUGCGGCGGAAUUUACUUCGAAGAAAGCGACAAUUCAGUAGACGACAACAAAAUCGUCAUUAGCUGCGAAUCGGACAGGAAGACUUGGCCGUCAUGGAAGAAAAAAUGUGCCACGCUGGUCGACAAAGAGGCCAUCCUUAGCGGUGUUCUAAAGCAAGUGUUUGAGCCGGACAAAUUCAAAUUGGACGUGUAGGUGCUCAAAUAUCAACAUUUUCUCAUGAAAUGGACACUUUCUCCCGCCUCCUCCUUUCCUAGAUUAUCAUUAUUCUUUCCCAGUUGAUAAUGAAAAAGACGAAAAAAGGGAGAGUGGGCCGAAAGAAAGGGAAGAAGCCGACUGUUAGAAAAGCUAAUCGUCUCGGACUGUUCACUGAGGUGACUGUGGACGACUCCAGACCCAAACAUGCGUUCCCAACACAGUCAUGUGCGGCUGAUACACACUGAAAACAAGGCAA